AGGUGGGGCCUACAUGAUAAAUCCAAGAUGGCGGUACAACAGGGCAAAAAGACCAUAAAUUCUAUUACGAAAAUCAGGAUUUUUGCAUUUUUUGCCGUCGCAUUGUUUUGAAACUUAUUCGGUCAAAUUUUAUGGUAAAGAGAAACUUACUGCGACGAUUUUGAGCAUAUAUAUGAUUGAAUUGGAUAAAAACUCGCAAAAUUAUCCAUCGAUAAAAGUUCGUGUAUAGUACUGAUAUAGUACUAUAUAUGUAACUUGUACAGUUUUGCUUUAAUUUUUGCUCACUAUUUGCAUAAAAAGCAAAUUAU